rnacentral:rRNA from 1 species
UGCAAGUCGAACGAUGAAGCCCAGCUUGCUGGGUGGAUUAGUGGCGAACGGGUGAGUAACACGUGAGUAACCUGCCCUUAACUCUGGGAUAAGCCUGGGAAACUGGGUCUAAUACCGGAUAGGAGCGUCCACCGCAUGGUGGGUGUUGGAAAGAUUUAUCGGUUUUGGAUGGACUCGCGGCCUAUCAGCUUGUUGGUGAGGUAAUGGCUCACCAAGGCGACGACGGGUAGCCGGCCUGAGAGGGUGACCGGCCACACUGGGACUGAGACACGGCCCAGACUCCUACGGGAGGCAGCAGUGGGGAAUAUUGCACAAUGGGCGCAAGCCUGAUGCAGCGACGCCGCGUGAGGGAUGACGGCCUUCGGGUUGUAAACCUCUUUCAGUAGGGAAGAAGCGAAAGUGACGGUACCUGCAGAAGAAGCACCGGCUAACUACGUGCCAGCAGCCGCGGUAAUACGUAGGGUGCGAGCGUUAUCCGGAAUUAUUGGGCGUAAAGAGCUCGUAGGCGGUUUGUCGCGUCUGUCGUGAAAGUCCGGGGCUUAACCCCGGAUCUGCGGUGGGUACGGGCAGACUAGAGUGCAGUAGGGGAGACUGGAAUUCCUGGUGUAGCGGUGGAAUGCGCAGAUAUCAGGAGGAACACCGAUGGCGAAGGCAGGUCUCUGGGCUGUAACUGACGCUGAGGAGCGAAAGCAUGGGGAGCGAACAGGAUUAGAUACCCUGGUAGUCCAUGCCGUAAACGUUGGGCACUAGGUGU